rnacentral:lncRNA from 1 species
AAAGUGGCAGCUAAGAGGUACUCAAUAAUGGUGGAAAAGCAUCGACAGAGAUUGUCAAAGCCAGUUAUGAAAAUAAGAUGGGAAAAAUCCUUAGGGAGAGAGGGGCCAAUCAAAGGCAGCAUUGUCUAAAUCAAAUCCAUCGUAGAACCUCAUUUCGACAUCUUCCAUGCUUUGGUCAUCUUCCCAAUCCCCAUCUGAUAUUUCGUCAUCGUAAUCAGAACCGACAUUUCCGGCAAUGAAGUCCCAGGCCAAGUAACCGGAGGAACCUGAAUAAUUUGAACAGUCAUCGCAGCCUUUCAUCCCAAAAUAAUCGACAACAAGAGGUCCGACCACUUUCAGUCGUGUGAAUUUCUUGAUAUAAUUUUCAUCCAGCUUCACGUUCCAACAUCCUCGCACAUCCAAUAAUUCAAG